rnacentral:rRNA from 1 species
GAUGAACGCUGGCGGCGUGCCUAAUACAUGCAAGUCGAGCGAACAGGCGAGGAGCUUGCUCCUCUGACGUUAGCAGCGGACGGGUGAGUAACACGUGGAUAACCUACCUAUAGGACUGGGAUAACUUCGGGAAACCGGAGCUAAUACCGGAUAAUAUAUUGAACCGCAUGGUUCAAUAGUGAAAGACGGUUUUGCUGUCACUUAUAGAUGGAUCCGCGCCGCAUUAGCUAGUUGGUAAGGUAACGGCUUACCAAGGCAACGAUGCGUAGCCGACCUGAGAGGGUGAUCGGCCACACUGGAACUGAGACACGGUCCAGACUCCUACGGGAGGCAGCAGUAGGGAAUCUUCCGCAAUGGGCGAAAGCUUGACGGAGCAACGCCGCGUGAGUGAUGAAGGUCUUCGGAUCGUAAAACUCUGUUAUUAGGGAAGAACAAAUGUGUAAGUAACUAUGCACGUCUUGACGGUACCUAAUCAGAAAGCCACGGCUAACUACGUG